CCCUUAGAUGUUCUGGGCCGCACACGCGCUACACUGAAGGAGGCAGCGUGUACUCCUGGAUCGAAAGAUUUGGGUAACCCGCGAAUCUCCUUCGUGCUAGGGAUUGAGGUUUGCAAUUAUCCUUCAUGAACGAGGAAUUCCCAGUAAGUGCAAGUCAUAAGCUUGCGCUGACUACGUCCCUGCCCUUUGUACACACCGCCCGUCGCUACUACCGAUUGAAUGAUUUAGUGAGGACUUCGGACUGAGACCGAUGCGGCUUUCGGGCUGCGUCGGUAUUCUGGAAAGAUGUCCAAACUGUAUCAUUUAGAGGAAGUAAAAGUCGUANCA
rnacentral:rRNA from 1 species